UAGGGAUUGAAUUACUUUAAGUAAUUAACAAGAAGAAAGAUAAGAAUAGAACUCCUUUUCCUACACUAUAAAUAGGGCCAUAGGUUUUGCUUACAAAUCAUUCCAAGUAGUUUCGAGGUGAUUUCAUUGAGAGGAUCAAAGAGGAGGAUCUAUCUUUUCUUUCAACCAAGUUUGAAGGUGGCCAUGAUUAAGAAGAUUGGAGCAUGGAUGUGGAUCGUGGUGAUAUGUCAAAAGAAUUACCAAAAGUUUAAAUUCAGUUUUUCUUUGUUUUAGAACAAAGUAUUUAUAUGUUAAACUCUAAAUUAUGUAUUAUGAUAUAAAGUAUGUCUUUUGGAGUUUUAUGCAAGUUUUUAUGAAAGUUUGAUUCUCGGUUAAGAUCCAGGUGUCACAGCAGCAACUUGUGAAUGUCUCACCUUGCCUUUGCAGAUGAUCUCAUUUUAUUGGCUAGGGGUGACAUUAUUUCGGUGCAAAUUCUUAUGGAUUGCCUUAAUGGCUUUGGGGACGUUUCAGGCCUAAGGGCCAGUGUGCGUAAGUCAAAUAUUUUUUCUACUGGCAUUCCAAGUAGUGACUUGGAGGCUAUUCUCGCUGUUCCUGGUUUUCAACAAGGCAAAAUGCCUUUUAGAUAUUUUGGGGGUCCCUCUUGUGGCUGAAAAGCUGAGAGUUUGCUGUUAUGCUCCAUUGAUUAAUAAAAUUUCAGAUAAAAUUUGUUCUUGGACA